rnacentral:lncRNA from 1 species
ACAUGACACAUAUCACUGUGGACAUUGUCUAUGGCCUUAUUACAACCAGCAAGAGAAUUACAUAAGCGCGUGAGAGCGCGCGCGCACACACACACGUACACACAUGCAUGACAUACAUGGAUUGACUAGAGGUCGCCCCAUAUAGUCAACAAUUUAUUGGAGGUAAACAUUAGCAUAACUUGGCCAUAGAUUGAAGCAAUCCAACACAUGCCGAUGAAUGGCAUCCAUGUUGGUAGUAAUGCAAGCAUAUUAUUUUAGUACAGUCCUUCCAUCUUCGGAGCCACUCCCAUUUCAUCCAUCUUAGCAACCACUGUGAAAUUAAGAUAUCGAACUCCCAUUAGCUCAUGAGUCAAUUUUGCAAGGGCAGGAGAGUAUAAGGGGUCUUUGUGUAGGAAGUAAUAUGCUUGAAGUUGUGAGAUGGGACAUGAAGUCAACGAAGUACAUUAAUGAAAAUCCGUGGAAGGUCACAAAUAUGUAUUAGUCCACCAUACGACACAGAUCUUGUAUUUACAAAUAUCAAAGGCAUUGAUUAAAGUGAGUUUAGUGCAUUUACCAGAAUCUUCAAGAAGACACGGGAAACAACAAGUGUUCUUGCAGGCAAAGUCAGAGCCACCCGCAAAAAUACAACUAGAACAACAUGCUUUUGCGGCGAAGCUUAUGCAGCAGCCGCAAUCUGCGGUGGUCGAGUUGACGGCGAGGCUCAGGAUGAGCAGGCACAUGAUCACCUUCAGAGUGGUAGUGCUAAUGAGCAUCCUCUUACCCUCCAUUUUCUCUUGUUGAUGUUUCCUGCCUUGGUUAACUAGCUAAGUUUCUUGGUUUUGUGUUGAGAGGUGCUUCUUAAAUGGAUGUUGCUCGCUGCAAUUUAUAGGCAAUUGCAUUACGUUAUGGUAUGUAUAAGGUGCGAGUGGGUGGAAAAUCAUGUAGUAUUCAAUGUGACAGUAUCGACAAUUGAUGACUUUGGUUGGUAAACCGGACAAAUUCAUUCACACGUAUCUUGCGGAGGAAAUGCUGCAUCACCUACCAUAUUCAAUAUUAGGGAGAAAGCCUGAACCACGCCAAUAAUUUGCAACGAGGCACAAAAAGCUACCCCAAGUAGUGGAGUUCGUAUGAUAUUAGCAAGCUAUAAGCGAUAACCAUGGAGGCAAUUAACACUAGCCCGUCAAAGAUGGUGCUAGCCACUUAUGGUGUUGAAUGCAACUUUUUGCAAAUAUGUAUGGACUUUGGUUAGUAAAAUUUCAACAGGCGCUACAUAUAUAUUUUGCUACACAAAAUUGAUUGGAAGCAAUAGAGUAGGCUAGUUCUUAGGUAGACCUUUAGCAAUGUUCAUCUUGGCCAUGGUGUCAGAGAUCAGAUUAUAAGUAUGACGUACAUGCAACUUGAUCCCUUGUCCUCAUAUUUUAAUUCCCGCAUUCACAAGUUGCACGUACUAAGCACUCCCAAUUAUUACCAUUUUCAUUAUGCAACUCUUUCUAUUUUUUAUUUAUUUUUUAAUAUACAAAUGUCAUUUAACAAACAAUCUAUUUUAUUCAGCUAGCGGAACUCGGGCAAAACCGUUUUUUAUCUAAGUCUACAAAACCUAGUAUAUUGUUUGGGCAUACAUUUUACAUUUCUAAGAUAGAACCCCAAGAUAUUAGGCACUGUGUCAGUUGUAUCAAACUUAUUUCUAUAUGACAUCGAAAUGUUAGAGAUAUUGAUAUGAUGCAAUGCACCGGGAUUAUCCUUAAAAAUGAAAAACAAUUAAAAGGAGGAAAACUUGUGCAAAGAGUCCUUACGUGAUAUGGUCCUCAUCAAAAUUACCAAAUUUGGAAUAUGGUGCUUUGAAAAAAAGAGUGUUCUCAAAAAGAGGUAUCAUGCCUGGCUUAUCUUGGCUUUCAACCCAAAUGGCCAUAUCCAUUGCAAACAUUGUUUUUCGUUUUCCCAUAUUCGGCACACACAUGCAUCUUGGAACACAAAUCCAACCAACAACCAAUGAUAGUUUCAAUCCUUAGAGGUGCGGGCGAGGACAAUUAAAAACUUGUGAAAUAGGUGUACCCGAAGAAUAAUUCCCUAUUCGAAUAUAUAGAUUGGGUCACUCUGUCUCAAAAUCACAACAAAAAAAUGUUUUGUUGAACAUCCUCUGUUAGAUAAGACAACAAGAUGAUGGUAGUUUUGGGUCCUUCACAAAACAAGAAACUAACCAAGAGAUUAGGAUGACUGAUCUAUCCCGCGUAUGUCUUGCAAAUCAGUUGUUGAUAACAUUGCCAUUAGGUGUUUGAUCGCAUUCACAUUCAACAUCUUUGGGUAUUUUACUAUCAUUGAUGUUGACACAUAUGGUUGUUUCCAAGAAAAAUUUAACAAAAUCCGAAUGAUUGAGAUAACCAUCUGCAAUGACUAAGAAAACCCUCUGCAAUAUUCAAUAGCUUAAAGUAUUUUGCAACUUAUCUCUACAAAAAAGGAGUAUUAAUCAACUUGCUGCUCUACAAAACAUGAUACUACCUCAUCCAUAUCUAGACAAAUCUCAAAAAAGUACUAUUGAUCGGAGGGAGUACAAAGGCUACUGGUAUACUUUCACAUGAAAUACUUUCUUCUUGCAAAAGAUAUAAAUGGUGCUAAUAUUAUACAUUUAAGUUUUAUAGAGGCCCGGUGUGUUCGUUAUGCUUGUAUCACUUGAUGUGACAUUCUCAUGAAAUAAAAAGUGACAUUUAUCCAAAAAAGACCUCCAGUCUUGUGUAAACUCCAAUCUUUAUGGAAAACCAUGCUUGCAGAAUGAACCAAUCGGCUAAUGCCAGUCUUGUGUAAUAUAUGUAGAUCAUCUCACAACUUUUGCAUUAGAUCAUGGUUACUUCAUAACAUGAUGAGAAGAAAUUCAAACCCAUGAAAAGCUUAUGCAAAUACGAUAACCUUGUAAAUUGCAUGAAAUAGAACCAACAAUUGAAAAUAUUAUAAUUAGGUGUUCGUUCACAUUCAUAUUCAACAGCUCUGGAUAUUCAUUAUUGUUUCAUGUUUUUUAAGAGAUCUUAAUGAUUCAAAUUGCAUUACGUUAUGAUAUGUAUAAGGUGCGAGUGGGUGGAAAAUCAUGUAGUAUUCAAUGUGACAGUAUCGACAAUUGAUGACUUUGGUUGGUAAACCGGACAAAUUCAUUCACACGUAUCUUGCGGAGGAAAUGCUGCAUCACCUACCAUAUUCAAUAUUAGGGAGAAAGCCUGAACCACGCCAAUAAUGUGCAACGAGGCACAAAAAGCUACCCCAAGUAGUGGAGUUCGUAUGAUAUUAGCAAGCUAUAAGCGAUAACCAUGGAGGCAAUUAACACUAGCCCGUCAAAGAUGGUGCUAGCCACUUAUGGUGUUGAAUGCAACUUUUUGCAAAUAUGUAUGGACUUUGGUUAGUAAAAUUUCAAUAGGCGCUACAUAUAUAUUUUGCUAUACAGAAUUGAUUGGAAGCAAUAGAGUAGGCUAGUUCCUAGGUAGACCUUUAGCAAUGUUCAUCUUGGCCAUGGUGUCAGAGAUCAGAUUAUAAGUAUGACGUACAUGCAACUUGAUCCCUUGUCCUCAUAUUUUAAUUCCCGCAUUCACAAGUUGCACGUACUAAGCACUCCCAAUUAUUACCAUUUUCAUUAUGCGACUCUUUCUAUUAUUUAUUUAUUUUUUAAUAUAUAAAUGUCAUUUAACAAACAAUCUAUUUUAUUCAGCUAGCGGAACUCGGGCAAAACCAUUUUUUAUCUAAGUCUAGAAAACCUAGUAUAUUGUUUGGGCAUACAUUUUACAUUUCUAAGAUAGAACCCCAAGAUAUUAGGCACUGUGUCAGUUGUAUCAAACUUAUUUCUAUAUGACAUCGAAAUGUUAGAGAUAUUGAUAUGAUGCAAUGCACCGGGAUUAUCCUUAAAAAUGAAAAACAAUUAAAAGGAGGAAAACUUGUGCAAAGAGUCCUUACGUGAUAUGGUCCUCAUCAAAAUUACCAAAUUUGGAAUAUGGUGCUUUGAAAAAAAGAGUGUUCUCAAAAAGAGGUAUCAUGCCUGGCUUAUCUUGGCUUUCAACCCAAAUGGCCAUAUCCAUUGCAAACAUUGUUUUUCGCUUUCCCAUAUUCGGCACACAUGCAUCUUGGAACACAAAUCCAACCAACAACCAAUGAUAUUUUCAAUUCUUAGAGGUGCGGGCGAGGACAAUUAAAAACUUGUGAAAUAGGUGUACCCGAAGAUUAAUUCGCUAUUCGAAUAUAUAGAUUGGGUCACUCUGUCUCAAAAUCACAACAAAAAAAUGUUUUGUUGAACAUCCUCUGUUAGAUAAGACAACAAGAUGAUGGUAGUUUUGGGUCCUUCACAAAACAAGAAACUAACCAAGAGAUUAGGAUGACUGAUCUAUCCCGCGUAUGUCUUGCAAAUCAGUUGUUGAUAACAUUGCCAUUAGGUGUUUGAUCGCAUUCACAUUCAACAUCUUUGGGUAUUUUACUAUCAUUGAUGUUGACACAUAUGGUUGUUUCCAAGAAAAAUUUAACAAAAUCCGAAUGAUUGAGAUAACCAUCUGCAAUGACUAAGAAAACCCUCUGCAAUAUUCAAUAGCUUAAAGUACUUUGCAACUUAUCUCUACAAAAAAGGAGUAUUAAUCAACUUGCUGCUCUACAAAACAUGAUUCUACGUCAUCCAUAUCUAGACAAAUCUCAAAAAAGUACUAUCGAUCGGAGGGAGUACAAAGGCUACUAGUAUACUUUCACAUGAAAUACUUUCUUCUUGCAAAAGAUAUAAAUGGUGCUAAUAUUAUACAUUUAAGUUUUAUAGAGGCCCGCUGUGUUCGUUAUGCUUGUAUCACUUGAUGUGACAUUCUCAUGAAAUAAAAAGUGACAUUUAUCCAAAAAAGACCUCCAGUCUUGUGUAAACUCCAGUCUUUAUGGAAAACCAUGCCUGCAGAAUGAACCAAUCGGCUAAUGCCAGUCUUGUGUAAUAUAUGUAGAUCAUCUCACAACUUUUGCAUUAGAUCAUGGUUACUUCAUAACAUGAUGAGAAGAAAUUCAAACCCAUGAAAAGCUUAUGCAAAUACGAUAACCUUGUAAAUUGCAUGAAAUAGAACCAACAAUUGAAAACAUUAUAAUUAGGUGUUCGUUCACAUUCAUAUUCAACAGCUCUGGAUAUUCAUUCUUGUUUCAUGUUUUUUAAGAGAUCUUAAUGAUUCAGAUUGCCCUCUGCAUCAAGGGAGAGGAUGCUUAAAGUAAUUUUUUUUCAAAUGUUCUAUUAAAGAAACUAGUAUUGCUCAACCUGCUGCUAUAGAAAAUAGAAAUAAAGGCGCAUAUGCUCCUUGGGUGCCCCAGAUUUUAGCCUAUGUAUCCAUAUGUAGGGUAAUAUCAGUGACAAUGUUUUCGAUGGUGUCAAGGAGAGGAUCAUCUACAACUUAGAACAUCUUGUUCAUGGAACCCCAUAUUAUCCAUACUACAUGUAGUAGAAUUAAGCAUGGGAUAAAUAUAGCCUGAGGGCAUUGCUGUUGAGGAGAGAUCACAAAUUUGGAUGGAGAGUGCGUGCCAUAUCCUUCAAGCAGCAGGACAGGUGAAGAAGAGGUUAUGUUCAUCGUGGGCAGAUGGAGCUGUUGAGGAUUCUUUGUUUUUUGUAGAUUGCAUCUUGUGUUUAGUCUGUCCAGGUAGAAGAGCCAGGCGAAGAUCUGUACUCUCUUUCAAGGUGCGGUCGUGUGGAUCCGAAUGCUGCGGGAGAUAGGGUAGCAUAUGCCCCCUCUUGAUGAAAGCUGACCCAUUAAGCAGCCCUCGCUCAUCAGGAUCCUGCAACAGAGAGUUUAACGAGCGAAGCUCUGGCGAGGCAGUUGAGGUUAGUCGGUUACGCAAGGCAAGUUCGACCUGCAUGAUGGCAUCUUGGUGGGAUGGGUGAGAGAAAAUGGUAGGGCAAACAGUGGCUAAUGGUACAGGUUUGAUCAACCUGUCAAGCCAGAACAAACAAUAUCAAAUAGAGCACUGAGAAAUGGUUCAGGUUUCCCAAAAAGAAUCUUUAGUUUGUUAGAUAAUAUUAUUGCAUAAUUGUUUCGUAGAGUAUCAUAUAUGGACUCUUGGUCCGAUAUGAUCUUCCUUGUGAAUGUAGGUACUUCAAAACAUGAGGAAACAAUAUCUCGUUUAGUCCUAGCCAUAAAAUUAAGAUUUGAUGGUUAUUUUGCAGCACUUGUCAAGGAUUAACAUGGAGGCUCGUAUGGUGCCUCCAAUUAAUAAAUAUAUGAUUUUGACAUGGGCUUCUUAUAUAUUUUGCUAUAAAAAUUGAUUGGAAUAAAUACGUCCGCCUAGUUCGCUAGGAUAGGCCUUUAGCAUGGUUUAUCAUCUCCAUUGUGUUGAAGAUUAGACGAUAAGUAUGAAGUAAAUGCAACUUGAUCCCAAGUCUUCAUAUUCCAAUCCCCAAAUUUACAACUUGCUUGUACUAUGCACAUCCUAUUAGUAACUUUUUUUGCUAGGCACACUUUUUAUAAUUUAUUAGGUGUUCCAUCACCUUCACAUUCAACUGCGGGUAUUCUGUUCUCGCAGAUGACUGGCUCUUUCAUAAAGAAUGUUUAAGGAAGUCUUAAUGACUGGGAAAGCCCUCCAGAUAGAAUGGUUGAAGUACUCUUGAACUGCACUGUAUGUAUUGCUUCUAGCUUUGGAUGAGCUUAAUAUCAUUUACGAGUAUUAAUCUAGUUCAUAUGGAAGUUUGUAUCCAAGCUAGUUGUGUACGUAUAUUAGGAGUCCAAGUGUUUGGCCGAGCUUAGCACUAGUCCGACUAGGAUAAGUAUGAUGGUUGAUCAUGUACACGUGGUUUUUUGAGUUUGGGUUCCAAGGUGUGUCCUAAUGCUAGUAGUAAUAGGAAGUACGAGGUACGAGUAGGAUUAGUUGGUCUAUAGGUUGGCCACAUUGUGUGUGUGUGUGUGUGUGUACAUACUAGCAAAAUAGAUUGUGCGUUGCAACGAGAGAGAAAAUAACACACACUCUUAACCUAGUAACCAUGAAUCAAGAUUCUAAUAGGUCCACGCCCUUUAUUUUCAAAUGGAAUCACAUUUUUGUUGCCGACGGUGGUCUCAGUGCUCAGAAAACAAAAUCGCGUUUGAAUGUGGUCAGUCCUAGGCCUCUCUCUCUCUCUCUCUCUCUCUCUCUCUCUCUCUCUCUCUCUCUCUCUCUCUCUCUCACGCGCGGGCACACGCACUCACUCGGAAUAGUAUGAGAAAUAUGUUGUUUUCAGCGGUGUGCAUGCAUGGUUAUCGAUGUUUUCUUUCCUCUCAAUCUGGUUUUAAUGGGUGUUUAUUUGAAAUUCGAAUCGCCGCCAGUACCAAAGAAAAAGGACCAUGCACAAUAAACUAAGUUUGCACCAAAAAUAAUAUUUAAGAAAUAUUUAACAGCUAAAAAUAACAUAAUGUUUAGAUUCUACACAUUUUUUAAUCAAAUUUCAUAUAUAACAUGUUAAAAUUAGAGUUACGGUUUAAAAAUAUGAAUAAUUUUGUCUUAGAUAAACUAUGGAUUGAUUAACCGAAAAGUCAGAGGGUUUUCUGUUAAAACAACAAAAAGAUCCAGCUGACUUAAAUAUGGAUGACGGGUUGAUUACCUGAAAUGUCAGGGUUUUAUUGAGAAAUUCAAAAACACGGUUUGGCUAUGACUUAAACGUGUACUGCGGGUUAAUUUACACAAAACACAGGGAUUUUUUUUAAAUGGCAUGACGUUGAGCAGUCACAAGCACUCUGUGCUUUAUUAUUAGGUGUAGAUAUAGACGCGAGGAUAUAUCAAGAUUGUACCGUGAAGAAAAGGAGAAAAGAAUAAAGAAGAGGAAGAAAGAGUACGACAAGGCCCCUUGGAUACAAGGUUUGUGUGUGUUUGUGUGUGCGUGUGNNNNNNNNNNNNNNNNNNNNNNNNNNNNNNNNNNNNNNNNNNNNNNNNNNNNNNNNNNNNNNNNNNNNNNNNNNNNNNNNNNNNNNNNNNNNNNNNNNNNNNNNNNNNNNNNNNNNNNNNNNNNNNNNNNNNNNNNNNNNNNNNNNNNNNNNNNNNNNNNNNNNNNNNNNNNNNNNNNNNNNNNNNNNNNNNNNNNNNNNNNNNNNNNNNNNNNNNNNNNNNNNNNNNNNNNNNNNNNNNNNNNNNNNNNNNNNNNNNNNNNNNNNNNNNNNNNNNNNNNNNNNNNNNNNNNNNNNNNNNNNNNNNNNNNNNNNNNNNNNNNNNNNNNNNNNNNNNNNNNNNNNNNNNNNNNNNNNNNNNNNNNNNNNNNNNNNNNNNNNNNNNNNNNNNNNNNNNNNNNNNNNNNNNNNNNNNNNNNNNNNNNNNNNNNNNNNNGUGUGUGUGUUCAUCAUGUUAUAGGUGGUGAAACACACUAAUGAGCAAGGUAAAACUCACAUCGAUCAAGGUCAGUGGCAUUUGUUCAAGUUUGUAAGGUGACUGUAGGACGCCUAGUUACGUCUGUGAACAAAAAGAGUCAGUACCGGCAAGGUCAGUGGCCAUAGUAGUAGCAGUUGUAGGAUCAACAUGUAGGAGUAUCAAGGUAGACACGAAGAAUGGAUAACUAUCCCAGUUGCACCUACAAACUGAUCCAGAAUUGUUUCCAAGUUUUUUGCAGCAAGUGGAGUAGCCUUGACAGCGACCAAGGUGGCAUUGACAUAUUAUGGUGUCGGUCAUAGGAGAUCUGGUUAUAGUGGUUGAGAAUAAAAUAUUCCGUUUGCCUUUGAUUAAUUAUGCGUUGUCUGUAAUUUGGUAUUCAUGAAAGUCACUAUCACGAUUAAUUGACCAUGUUCUAGAUCUCUACAUCAAAUUUAUUCCUGUUAACCUCAAUGUUAUAGCUACAUCGAGAUACUUAUUUUUCAUAUGCGAGUAAUUGGUUGAGCUCUCCCAGCAGGACGAAGCAGCAAAGGGAGCAAAAUGUAUACCAAACUGUGGAUGAAUGCCACAAUGGGGUAACUCGGAAAGUUUAACUCAUGCUCUAUGUCUUGCCCAAGGACAACAUACUCCGCGUGCAACUUUUUGUGUAUAUACCAGACGAUGCGCCAUAAACUAAUUUUUGUUACAAAUGGUAACAUAUUAGUAUCAAGAUGACACAAAUUUCCAUUACAAAUAUACAAUAAACCAUUGUAGACCUCAUCGGUGUGAAAAAUUAAUUGGACGAACUAAAGUUUUGCAAUGAGAUGCUGAUGGUAGGCAUCAACAUGGACUUGGAGCUCGACUUGGAGUUGUCGUACUACUAGUAACUUUCUAGAUCACAUGGAAAACUAUGAAUCCAAACAAGAUAACAGAUACAGUGAUGUAUUAUAUAUGAGCACAGAGAGAGAAAAAAAUAGAAACUUUAAACAUGGCUUCCAACGGGUUCUUCUGGUGUGUUAAGAGCCUUUAGAAGAUGAAACUGGGCUAGCUAUGGCCCUAGCCAUAAAGAACAUGGAAUUAGUGAUAUUACAACCGUGAAGGCUAACACGAAUAAGUUUCUAAGCGCCCCAACUGUGAUCAACACCACGAUCAAAAGUAUCCGCAACCGAAGAUGUAGUUAAAUCUAUCGAUGAUGCUGUCAAAUACCUCAUCUCGCUGAUUGGGAACCGGAGUCACCAUAUACGCCAACAUGAAAACCAGGUCAGCUAUGCAUAUAGAGAAUCUCACCCAGAUAGACUGAAAAAACCGUUGGUCAAUGAGGCUCUCUUUUCUCAGCUGUAUUAUCUCUUUGCGGUGCCUAUUUUAGCGAACUCUUUUUCCAGCUCAAUAAGGUUGUGUUUUCACAACUUUGCUGCAUGUACACCGUAUACUGUCCCCCGAACACCAAGCCUUCCAAUCCCAAGAACAAAAGGAAAGAGAUAGCAGCCCAAAAAUAGACCAAGUUAUCUUUCCAGCAUUGUCUUUCCUACCAGGAUUCGAAAUCCUUCUUGGCAAGACGAGCUGAAUUAUCUCCCAUAGUCCGAAACUCACAAGAACAUCAAAAAUCCGACGUGAAUGAAUUCAAUAAAGAACAGGUAUAGAUAAAAAAAAAUAAUCAAGUACGAAUAAAAUUGGUAGGGUCUCAGACAAUAUAUUCACAUAUGAGAACGUACAUGACACAUAUCACUGUGGACAUUGUCUAUGGCCUUAUUACAAGCAACAAGAGAAAUUACAUAGGCGUGUGAGUGCGCGUGCGCGCGCACACACACGUGCACACAUGCAUGACAUACAUGGAUUGACUAGAGGUCGCCCCAUAUAGUCAACAAUUUAUUGGAGGUAAACAUUAGCAUAACUUGGCCAUAGAUCGAAGCAAUCCAACAUAUGCCGAUGAAUGGCAUCCAUGUUGGUAGCAAUGCAAGCAUAUCGUUUUAGUACAGUCCUUCCAUCUUCGAAGCCACUCCCAUUUCAUCCAUCUUAGCAACCACUGUGAAAUCAAGAUAUCGAACUCCCAUUAGCGCAUGAGUUAAUUUUGCCAGGGCAGGAGAGUAUAAGAGGUCUUUGUGUAGGAAGUAACAUGCUUGAAGUUGUGAGAUGGGACAUGAAGUCAACGAAGUACAUUAAUGAAAAUCGGUGGAAGGUCACAGAUAUGUAUUAGUCCACCAUACGACACAGAUCUUGUAUUUACAAAUAUCAAAGGCAUUGAUUAAAGUGAGUUUAGUGCAUUUACCAGAAUCUUCAAGAAUACAGGGGAAACAACAAGUGUUCUUGCAGGCAAAGUCAGAGCCACCCGCAAAAAUACAAGUAGAACAACAUCCUUUUGCGGCUAAGCUUAUGCAGCAGCCGCAGUCUGCGGUGGUCGAGUUUACGGUGAGGCUCAGGAUGAGCAGGCACAUGAUCACCUUCAAAGUGGUAGUGCUAGUGAGCAUCCUCUUACCCUCCCAUUUCUCUUGUUGAUGUUGCCUGCCUUGGUUACCUAGCUAAGUUUCUUGGUUUUGUGUUGAGAGGUGCUUCUUAAAUGGAUGUUGCUUGCUGCAAUUUAUAGGCAAUUGCAUUACGUUAUGAUAUGUAUAAGGUGCGAGUGGGUGGAAAAUCAUGUCGUAUUCAAUGUGACAGUAUCGACAAUUGAUGACAUUGGUUGGUAACCCGGACAAAUUCAUUCACACGUAUCUUGCGGAGGAAAUGUUGCAUCACCUACCAUAUUCAAUAUUAGGGAGAAAGCCUGAACUACACCAAUAGUGUGCAACGAGGCACAAAAAGCUACCACAAGUAGUGGAGUUCGUAUGAUAUUAGCAAGCUAUAAACAAUAACCAUGGAGGCAAUUAACACUAGCCCGUCAAAGAUGGUGCUAGCAACUUAUGGUGUUCAAUGCAACACCAGAGCAAAUAUGUAUGGACUUUGGUUAGUAAAAUUUCAACAGGCGCUACAUAUAUAUUUUUCUAUACAAAAUUGAUUGGAAGCAAUAGAGUAGGCUAGUUCCUAGGUAGACCUUUAGCAAUGUUCAUUUUGGCCAUGGUGUCGGAGAUCAGAUUAUAAGUAUGACGUACAUGCAACUUGAUCCCUUGUCCUCAUAUUUUAAUUCCCGCAUUCACAAGUUGCACGUACUAAGCACUCCCAAUUAUUACCCUUUUCAUUAUGCAACUACUUUUAGAAUUUAUUUAUUUUUAAUAUACAAAUGUCAUUUAACAAACAAUCUAUUUUAUUCAGCUAGCGGAGGUCGGGCAAAACCGUUUUUUAUCCAAGUCUAGAAAACCUUGUAUAUUGUUCGGGCAUACAUUUUGCAUUUCUAAGAUAGAACCCCAAGAUAUUAGGCAUUGUGUCAGUUGUAUCAAACUUAUUUCUAUAUGACAUCAAAAUGUUAGAGAUAUUGAUAUGAUGCAAUGCACCGGGAUUAUCCUUAAAAACGAAAAACAAUUAAAAGGAGGAAAACUUGUGCAAAUAGUCCUUACGUGAUAUGGUCCUCAUCAAAAUUACCAAAUUUGGAAUAUGGUGCUUCGAAAAAAGAGUGUUCUCAAAAAGAGGUAUCAUGCCUGGCUUAUCUUGGCUUUCAACCCAAAUGGACAAGGCGAUGGCCAUAUCCAUGGCAAACAUUGUUUUUCGUUUUCCCAUAUUCAGCACACACAUGCAUCUUGGAACACAAAUCCAACCAACAACCAAUGAUCGUUUCAUUUCUUAGAGGUGCGGGCGAGGACAAUUAAAAACUUGUGAAACAGGUGUACCCGAGGCUUAAUUCACUAUUCGAGUAUACAGAUUGGGUCACUCUGUGUCGAAAUCACAACAAGAAAAUGUUUGGUUGAACAUCCUCUGUUAGAUAAGACUACAAGAUGAUGGUACUUUUGGGUCCUUCACAAAACAAGAAACUAACCAAGAGAUUAGGAUGACUGAUCUGUCCCAUGUAUGUCCUGCAAAUUAGUUGUUGAUAACGUUGCCAUUAUUUAGGAAAAGGCUCCUCACCUGAAUAUAUAUAUGCCACAAACCUUUAUUUAGGAAAAGGCUCCUCACCUGAAUAUAUUUCAAAUGUUUGACAGUUUUACAGGAUCACGCAUAUGCGCGCUCCUUGGGUGCCCCAGAUUUUAGCCUAUGUAUCCAUAUGUAAGGUAAGAUCAGUGCCAAUGUUUUCGAUGGUGUCAAGGGGAGGAUCAUCUACAAGUUAGAACAUCUUGUUCAUGGCACCCCAUAUUAUCCAUACUACAUGUAGAAGAAUUAAGCAUGGGAUAAAUAUAGCCAGAGGGCAUUGCGGUUGAGAAGAGAUCACCAAUUUGGAUGGAGAGUGCGUGCCAUAUCCUUCAAGCAGCAUGACAGGUGAAGAAGAGGUGAUGUCUAUCAUGGGCAGAUGGAGCUGGUGAGGAUUCUUUAUUUUUUGUAGAUUGCAUCUUGUGUUCACUCUGUCCAGGUAGAAGAGCCAGACGAAGAUCUGUAAUCUCUUUCAAGGUGCGGUCCUAUGGAUCCGAAAGCUGGGGUGAUAGGGCAGCAUAUGCCCCCUCUUGAUGAAAGCUGACCCAUUAAGCAACCCUCGCUCGUCAGGAUCCUACAACAGAGAGUUUAAUGAGCCAAGCUCUGGCGAGGCAGUUGAGGUUAGUCGGUUACGCAAGGAAAGUUCGACCUGCAUGAUGGCAUCUUUGGUGGGAUCGGUGAGAGAAAAUGGUAGGGAAAACAUUGGCUAAUGGUUCAGGGUUGAUCCACUUGUCAAGCCAAAACAAACAAUCUCAAACAGUGGCUAAUGGUUCAGGUCUCCCAAAAAGAAUCUUUAGUUUGUUAGAUAAUAUUAUUUGCAUGGUUGUUUCCUAGUGUAUCAUAUAUGGACUCUUGGGCCGAUAGGAUCUUCUUUGUAAACGUAUGUACUUCAAAACAUGAGGAAACCAUAUCUCGUUUAGUCCUAGCCGUAAAAUUAAGAUCUGAUGGUUAUUUAUCAGCACUUGUCAAGGAUUAACGUGGAGGCUCGUAUGGUGCCUCCAAUUAAUAAAUAUAUGAUUUUGACAUGGGCUUCUUAUAUAUUUCGCUAUAAAAAUUGAUUGGAACAAAUACGUACGCCUAGUUCGCUAGGAUAGGCCUUUAGCAAGGUUUAUCAUCUCCACUGUGUUGAAGAUUAGAUGAUAAGUAUGAACUAAAUGCAACUUGAUCCCAAGUCUUCAUAUUCCAAUCCCCAAAUUUACAACUUGCUCGUACUAUGCACAUCCUAUUAGUAACUUUUUUUGCUAGGAACACUUUUUAUAAUUUAUUUGUUUGUGAAUACACAAAUGUCAUUUUAACAGACUAUCUAUUUUUAUUCAGCUAGCAGAGGUUGGGCACAAUCAAUUUUUAUCCAAGACUAAAAAACCAUGUACAUUUUCGGGGGGCAUACAUCUUGUGUUUCUAAGAGACAACACUAAGAUAUUAUGCAUUGUGCCUCUUGUAUCAAACUUGUUUUUGUAUGUCAUAGAAAUAAUAGAGAUAGUGAUAUGAUUCACUGCACAUGGAUUAUCCUAAAAUAGAGAAACAAUUUAAAAACGGGAAACUUGCACAAAGAGUCCUUUUACGUGAUAUGGUUUCCAUAAAAAAUACCAAAAUUGAAAUAUGAUGCUUUGAAAAAAAAGGUGUUCUCGGAAAGAGGUAUCUUGUAUGCUUAUCUUGGCUUUCAACCCAAAAUACCAAGGCGAUAGUCAUAUCCAUGGGAAACAUGGUGGUAUUUUGCCCAUAUUCGGCACACAUGUGCAUCUUGGCAUGGCUUUACAAUGACACCUUAUUCACGUUGAUAAGAGCCUGUAUGCAAUAGCUACGGCUCUCCUAAAACAUUGUCGACCGAUGAAAUCUCUGGACCAAAAGUUGGGCAGAAAACGCCAGACCAGUGAAUGGGGUGCCAAAACAUGGAAAAGGGCGGGGAAUUGCCAAAAUUCUACCGUUGGUUGUAGCCUCACUGAAACCGACAUGUAAUUUGACCGUCGAAUAUUCAGACAACCUGGAACCCUAGCAUGCUACCAGGGCACCGACAUAAUGCAUGUAUUCUGUGCAUGCGAUACUGGCGCCCCCGCGACCAGAGGAAGGAAUAAACACCUAGACGGUACGCUAGUGCCUAAAUUUGGGCGGGAGAACACCAGAGUGGUGAGUUGGCCACCAAAAGAUGAAAAAGGGCUAGUCUUUGGCAGGUAUAAACAAGGGGGGAGGGGGGCUGGUAUUUCGGGUGCCAGAUCUUGUGAAGGUAAACAAGGAGAGAGACAUAAGAUGGAUACAAGCUGCUCCUCUGCCUUUGUUUGACUUGACUCAGCUGAAACAUAAUGUCGUUUCCAAAGAAACUUCAAUUACUGUUGAGAAGAGACAAAACCAAAUACUGCCAUUACACAAUAUAUAUCCGUCGUAAGAUAUUGAUUAAGCUAACCAAGCUGGACAUUGCCUACAGUACACCUAGAUAACUUAAUUUAUGCUAGCGACCGUGACGGCGAUCACCAAUUGAUUGUAUUUAGUGACUAAUAACCUGCCAUUGGUAUAUUUCAAAUUUUAUAUAUCAUUUGAUCCUCACCAUCGUCGGACAUGAUCGAGUCACAGAGAUAGGUACAAGUAGUUGUUCUGAGAAUAAGAAGAAAAAAUCGAUGCACUGACAAUCUCCAAUGUGUGUCCAUCUCAACCAUUUUAAAUUAAUUAGUACAAGUCCAAAUUAUCUGCUCUCCGGUAGAAACUAAAUUAGUCACGUUUGUUACGCUAGAGUUUGGUGCCAACGAACAAACCUAGCAAAUCAAUUGCACGUGGUCUCCUUAAACUACAAACAACGACAAUGAUGGAGGAGCCACUAAAUAGAAGGCCGGGCAGCGAUAGAAUGUACUUACUCAAUGGUUGCUAAUUUUUGUUGGUAAAUUGCGAGCGUUCUCCAGGGACGAACUCAAGAAGCAGUUUUUCUUGAUGAACGGACAAUAAGCUCCACCAUGCAAAAAUAUAAGGUUUCAGUUUGAGGAUCCAGCAAUAGUUCAUCAUGGAGCCUGAUGCACCAAGGUCAUAAUGCUGGUCUGGUGUGCAAAAUCCAAAGUAUGCAUCAGUUCUGCUCUCACACAUUGCGGAUCGUUCGAAUAUGCCAUCCAGAUCUUGUCUGUCCUGGAUAUACUUUUUGCUCGGAAUUAUAAAACUGUUCCUUUAUAAACUACUUACAGAAGCAUGAUUGUGGCUGUUGAACAUUUACUUUCCUUGAGUCGAAAAGACGCGCUAAUUUAGGGAAGCAGCAUGUGGGCACUGGAUAUCAUGUGCAUGCAUGUUCUUAACCCCCAAGCCACUCAGAUUAUUUGGCCCCAGAGCAAACCGCUUGGUUUGACCAGAAAAAAGACCUUCUACCCUUAUCCAUAGCAUAUGAAUGGAGAAGCAGAGCAUGAGCAGUGGGCAAACUAUCUAUCCUCUGAGAUGGACCAAGGAUAGAUAGUCGUUAGUGGCUCUAUAAAGAGGCCGGAUUCUGUCACACACAUAAGGGCUAAUUUGGCAGCAAGGUAAACGAAACCAGGGUAGCAAACCUUCGGGAGAUUAUACGCUAUUACUCACCUUCGGGAGAUUAUACGUUUCAAUCACUAUAUAUAUGACGUGCAAAAUGCAGCACACAUCCAUCACCAUCAGUUGAACUCGUGUCACACAAACUCCAUAGUCCAUACUUCUCUAGGUGUCAUCUCACUAUGCUGGAUACCUCUCCAAGUCUAUAUGUGAUGGACGGACGAACCAAGGCUCACUGGGCUUAAACACCUCCGGAAUGACAACCUCUACUACAACUCAACUCUGGAUUUUCGUACCUGUGCGUUUCACCAAACCAGUUGAUUAUAACCCCACUCUGCUCUUCUCUUCUCCAUGUAGAGUAGACCAGAGUAGGGACAACGAACACAUCAAUUACCAUCACAUACUAAAGUAUAUUCUAACAGCUGCUACAACUGAAUCAAUUAAUCAUGCCAAACACCCGUGCAUACCCACUCACUGCCAUUAUGUCCCGAAAUUGUCCAGCCUAGAACACACAAAUAAAAUAGAAUAGUCUCUAGUCUCCAUGCACUUUCACUGUUUGAUUGAUCACAAAAACUUACCUCAACAGUAAGAAAAUACACAAAUUUUGUUUUUCUCUGAUAUAUGAGAUCACAGAUUUUAGCCUUUUGGUGGUUCUAUUGACAUCAAUUGCAUGUACUAUAUUCACGGAUGCAAUUUUCUAACAAACCUUGCUAGCUAAUCUCCCUCGCACCUGCUCACAUCAAGAUUUAAACUGGAUGAGAUAAUGUAUAUGACUAUGUGUGACAUCAAGUUUAAGCGUUUAUGGUUCACGUUUUACAUCAAGUAUAUCGUAGUGUAGAGUAGCAAACUUAAUUCUCGAAAUCACCCAUACCAACGAAUGAAUGAAGAACCAAAGAGAUAAUUACAUCAGAGCUAGUCACUCCAUAGGCAAUAUCAGCAUAUUGUUAAUUGUUAAUGUGUAUAUCGAUCAAGUUUGUUUCUUUUCAAGUAAUCUAACACAUUCACCAAGGGAUUAAAUUGUAACUGAAUAGUACCAUUAGAAGUACAAAUAAGUUAACUAUUUGACAUUUGAUUUUCCACUAUUACUAAUUUUAUUUUUUAUUUUUUAUAUUCAAAUCUUCCGAGGUUUGUGUACAUUUUGUGUUGUUUAAGCCUGUCGGUCGACUGUAGAGUAGCCGCGCACCUCGUUCUUAUCCAUCUAAUCACAUGCACUAUGGUCUUCGCGUGGCAUUAAUUAAUUCCAUUGAUCAGUGAUAUAUUAUGUAGCUUGCUAGUUAAUAAUUAAUUAAUUAGCAGUUGAUGCAACUGCUCCAUUAUUAACAAUAAAAAGGCAUCCUCGUUUAGCUCGCAGGUCUUGUAUGAAUGCAUAAUCAUUUGCAUAAUAAUUAGGUAAGGCCGCUAGUUGGUGAGAAAUGCAUUGUACUUUCCUUGAGAUUAUCUGUCGACACCAAGCUGGUCAAUGGCGUGCAAUUUGAGAGCACUACCCUAUUCUCUGGGUUGUUAUAAAAAAAUUAAGGCAAAGGGACUGUGUACCCGUUGUAUCGAAUUGACAUGUACCUAGGAUAAAACUAAAUUAAUUUAUUCAUAAUCUAGUACAACAAAGGUGAAAUAAUUUAAAAAUCACUCCCUAAAAAAAGUAUAAGAAUGUGGCAAUCGCUCCCUAAAAACGGAAUGUAACAAUCACUCGUGGAAGGGGAAACGGCAAGACACCGCAAUGUCACUCGAACACUUUGACGUGUAGUACUGGGUAUGGGAAGAUUAUGUUGGGAUAAGAUAGUGGAUUGCCGGAGCCGGAGACCUCACCGGAGAGUUGGAAUUCCCCAUGUGGAUCCUGCUGUUGGCGAAAAAGCUGGUAAAGUGAAUGAGAGGAUGGUGGCGAACGGACACUGCACAUUCACCGGAUCUGGGCAAGGAAAGGGCACAAAUGAACAACACCUUCUUUUUCUAUUUUUUAAACGCCAAAAAGGUGCAGGUGUGUUAUGAAUCAAACUAGUGACCUCCUGCUUCAACGUAAGCUGCAGUAACCACUUACUUUUUUUCUUCAUAUUUUCUUCUUUCUACUUUUCUUUUUUCUUGUUUCUGGUUCGUUGAGGUUUUUUCCAAUUUUGUGAACUAUUUUUUUCAAAAUCAAUGAACUUUUUUCAAUUUGUAUACUUUUUUUCUGAAAUUGACAAAAAAUUGUAAUCAAUUGGUUUACUUUUUUUUUCCAAAUUUUGUGAUACUUAAGAAAAGUCAACUAGUCAGUCAGUGAACCGAUCAACUGGCACCAGUCAACCAGUGAGAGAUCUGAAGCGUAGGGAACACUCAACCCGGUUGCAUUUUGCUGCGCUGCAGCGAGAUGACAUUUUCAGCCGCAACCCAUGAAUGAAGGUAGUGAGCGCCAGGGAUUCUUUUCGCUGCUUGAAGCGCCGAAUAGGAGCUCCCAUGAGUUAGAUAGCUUUUGGAUGCAAAUUCAGUUUGCAGAUCAACGAGGCCACAAGCUUUCCGGUUGUUUUUUCCUUAAUCCAGUUCCAUCUAUGUAAAACUGCGAACGAUGGAUCAUCCAUCUCGAACGGAUCAACAUGGACAUGGUCAGCUCGAUCGUUACGCCAAAUGAAUACAAAUUAUGCACACACAAUCCGACGCGGCGAGUGAGAGCGACUUUGUUGAGAGGACCAAACUACCAUUAUUUUAUCUCAUUCUUCGUAUGAUAUUAAAACCGGCUAUUAGCUGUUUGUCUCUUGUAGACAUAUUUAAUCAGCUAUGUCAUACAAUACAAAUUAGGUGUUCCAUCACCUUCACAUUCAACUGCGGGUAUUCUGUUCUCGCAGAUGACUGGCUCUUUCAUAAAGAAUGUUUAAGGAAGUCUUAAUGACUGGGAAAGCCCUCCAGAUAGAAUGGUUGAAGUACUCUUGAACUGCACUGUAUGUAUUGCUUCUAGCUUUGGAUGAGCUUAAUCUCAUUUACGAGUAUUAAUCUACUUCAUAUGCAAGUUUGUAUCCAAGCUAGUUGUGUACGUAUAUUAGGAGUCCAAGUGUUUGGCCGAGCUUAGCACUAGUCCGACUAGGAUAAGUAUGAUGGUUGAUCAUGUACACGUGGUUUUUUGAGUUUGGGUUCCAAGGUGUGUCCUAAUGCUAGUAGUAAUAGGAAGUACGAGGUACGAGUAGGAUUAGUUGGUCUAUAGGUUGGCCACAUUGUGUGUGUGUGUGUGUGUGUGUGUGUGUGCGUGUGUGUGUGUGUGUACAUACUAGCAAAAUAGAUUGUGCGUUGCAACGAGAGAGAAAAUAACACACACUCUUAACCUAGUAACCAUGAAUCAAGAUUCUAAUAGGUCCACGCCCUUUAUUUUCAAAUGGAAUCACAUUUUUGUUGCCGACGGUGGUCUCAGUGCUCAGAAAACGAAAUCGCGUUUGAAUGUGGUCAGUCCUAGGCCUCUCUCUCCCUCUCUCUCUCUCUCUCUCUCUCUCUCUCUCUCUCUCUCUCUCACGCGCGGGCACGCGCACUCACUCGGAAUAAUAUGAGAAAUAUGUUGUUUUCAGCGGUGUGCAUGCAUGGUUAUCGAUGUUUUCUUUCCUCUCAAUCUGGUUUUAAUGGGUGUUUAUUUGAAAUUCGAAUCGCCGCCAGUACCAAAGAAAAAGGACCAUGCACAAUAAACUAAGUUUGCACCAAAAAUAAUAUUUAAGAAAUAUUUAACAGCUAAAAAUUACAUAAUGUUUAGAUUCUACACAUUUUUUAAUCAAAUUUCAUAUAUAACAUGUUAAAAUUAGAGUUACGGUUUAAAAAAUAUGAAUAAUUUUGUCUUAGAUAAACUAUGGAUUGAUUAACCGAAAAGUCAGGGGUUUUCUGUUAAAACAAAAAAAAGAUCCAGCUGACUUAAAUAUGGAUGACGGGUUGAUUACCUGAAAUGUCAGGGUUUUAUUGAGAAAUUCAAAAACACGGUUUGGCUAUGACUUAAACGUGUACUGCGGGUUAAUUUACACAAAACACAGGGAUUUUUUUUAAAUGGCAUGACGUUGAGCAGUCACAAGCACUCUGUGCUUUAUUAUUAGGUGUAGAUAUAGACGCGAGGAUAUAUCAAGAUUGUACCGUGAAGAAAAGGAGAAAAGAAUAAAGAAGAGGAAGAAAGAGUACGACAAGGCCCCUUGGAUACAAGGUUUGUGUGUGUUUGUGUGUGCGUGUGCGUGUGUGUGUGUGUAUGUGUGUGUGUGUGUGUGUGUGUGUGUGUGUGUGUGUGUGUGUUCAUCAUGUUAUAGGUGGUGAAACACACUAAUGAGCAAGGUAAAACUCACAUCGAUCAAGGUCAGUGGCAUUUGUUCAAGUUUGUAAGGUGACUGUAGGACGCCUAGUUACGUCUGUGAACAAAAAGAGUCAGUACCGGCAAGGUCAGUGGCCAUAGUAGUAGCAGUUGUAGGAUCAACAUUUAGGAGUAUCAAGGUAGACACGAAGAAUGGAUAACUAUCCCAGUUGCACCUACAAACUGAUCCAGAAUUGUUUCCAAGUUUUUUGCAGCAAGUGGAGUAGCCUUGACAGCGACCAAGGUGGCAUUGACAUAUUAUGGUGUCGGUCAUAGGAGAUCUGGUUAUAGUGGUUGAGAAUAAAAUGUUCCGUUUGCCUUUGAUUAAUUAUGCGUUGUCUGUAAUUUGGUAUUCAUGAAAGUCACUAUCACGAUUAAUUGACCAUGUUCUAGAUCUCUACAUCAAAUUUAUUCCUGUUAACCUCAAUGUUAUAGCUACAUCGAGAUACUUAUUUUUCAUAUGCGAGUAAUUGGUUGAGCUCUCCCAGCAGGACGAAGCAGCAAAGGGAGCAAACUGUAUACCAAACUGUGGAUGAAUGCCACAAUGGGGUAACUCGGAAAGUUUAACUCAUGCUCUAUGUCUUGCCCAAGGACAACAUACUCCGCGUGCAACUUUUUGUGUAUAUACCAGACGAUGCACCAUAAAGUAAUUUUUUUUACAAAUGGUAACAUAUUAGUAUCAAGAUGAUACAAAUUGCCAUUACAAAUAUACAAUAAACCAUUGUAGACCUCAUCGGUGUGAAAAAUUAAUUGGACGAACUAAAGUUUUGCAAUGAGAUGCUGAUGGUAGGCAUAAACAUGGACUUGGAGCUCGACUUGGAGUUGUCGUACUACUAGUAACUUUCUAGAUUGCAUGGAAAACUAUGAAUCCAAACAAGAUAACAGAUACAGUGAUGUAUUAUAUAUGAGCACACAGAGAAGAAAAAUAGAAACUUUAAACAUGGCUUCCAACGGGUUCUUCUGGUGUGUUAAGAGCCUUUAGAAGAUGAAACUGGGCUAGCUAUGGCCCUAGCCGUAAAGAACAUGGAAUUAGUGAUAUUACAACCGUGAAGGCUAACACGAAUAAGUUUCUAAGCGCCCCAACUGUGAUCAACACCACGAUCAAAAGUAUCCGCAACCGAAGAUGUAGUUAAAUCUAUUGAUGAUGCUGUCAAAUACCUCAUCUCGCUGAUUGGGAACCGGAGUCACCAUAUACGCCAACAUGAAAACCAGGUCAGCUAUGCAUAUAGAGAAUCUCACCCAGAUAGACUGAAAAAACCGUUGGUCAAUGACGCUCUCUUUUCUCAGCUGUAUUAUCUCUUUGCGGUGCCUAUUUUAGCGAACUCUUUUUCCAGCUCAAUAAGGUUGUGUUUUCACAAUUUUGCUGCAUGUACACUGUAUACUGUCCCCCGAACACCAAGCCUUCCAAUCCCAAGAACAAAAGGAAAGAGAUAGCAGCCCAAAAAUAGACCAAGUUAUCUUUCCAGCAUUGUCUUUCCUACCAGGAUUCGAAAUCCUUCUUGGCAAGACGAGCUGAAUUAUCUCCCAUAGUCCGAAACUCACAAGAACAUCAAAAAUCCGACGUGAAUGAAUUCAAUAAAGAACAGGUAUAGAUAAAAAAUAAUAAUCAAGUACGCAUAAAAUUGGUAGGUUCUCAGACAAUAUAUUGACAUAUGAGAACGUACAUGACACAUAUCACUGUGGACAUUGUCUAUGGCCUUAUUACAAGCAACAAGAGAAAUUACAUAGGCGUGUGAGUGCGCGUGCGCGCGCACACACACGUGCACACAUGCAUGACAUACAUGGAUUGACUAGAGGUCGCCCCAUAUAGUCAACAAUUUAUUGGAGGUAAACAUUAGCAUAACUUGGCCAUAGAUCGAAGCAAUCCAACAUAUGCCGAUGAAUGGCAUCCAUGUUGGUAGCAAUGCAAGCAUAUCGUUUUAGUACAGUCCUUCCAUCUUCGAAGCCACUCCCAUUUCAUCCAUCUUAGCAACCACUGUGAAAUUAAGAUAUAAAACUCCCAUUAGCUCAUGAGUUAAUUUUGCUAGGGCAGGAGAGUAUAAGAGGUCUUUGUGUAGGAAGUAACAUGCUUGAAGUUGUGAGAUGGGACAUGAAGUCAACGAAGUACAUUAAUGAAAAUCGGUGGAAGGUCACAGAGAUGUAUUAGUCCACCAUACGACACAGAUCUUGUAUUUACAAAUAUCAAAGGCAUUGAUUAAAGUGAGUUUAGUGCAUUUACCAGAAUCUUCAAGAAUACAGGGAAACAACAAGUGUUCUUGCAGGCAAAGUCAGAGCCACCCGCAAAAAUACAAGUAGAACAACAUCCUUUUGCGGCUAAGCUUAUGCAGCAGCCACAGUCUGCGGUGGUCGAGUUUACGGUGAGGCUCAGGAUGAGCAGGCACAUGAUCACCUUCAAAGUGGUAGUGCUAGUGACCAUCCUCUUACCCUCCAUUUUCUCUUGUUGAUGUUGCCUGCCUUGGUUACCUAGAUAAGUUUCUUGGUUUUGUGUUGAGAGGUGCUUCUUAAAUGGAUGUUGCUUGCUGCAAUUUAUAGGCAAUUGCAUUACGUUAUGAUAUGUAUAAGGUGCGAGUGGGUGGAAAAUCAUGUCGUAUUCAAUGUGACAGUAUCGACAAUUGAUGACAUUGGUUGGUAACCCGGACAAAUUCAUUCACACGUAUCUUGCGGAGGAAAUGUUGCAUCACCUACCAUAUUCAAUAUUAGGGAGAAAGCCUGAACUACACCAAUAGUGUGCAACUAGGCACAAAAAGCUACCACAAGUAGUGGAGUUCGUAUGAUAUUAGCAAGCUAUUAACAAUAACCAUGGAGGCAAUUAACACUAGCCCGUCAAAGAUGGUGCUAGCAACUUAUGGUGUUCAAUGCAACACCAGAGCAAAUAUGUAUGGACUUUGGUUAGUAAAAUUUCAACAGGCGCUACAUAUAUAUUUUGCUAUACAAAAUUGAUUGGAAGCAAUAGAGUAGGCUAGUUCCUAGGUAGACCUUUAGCAAUGUUCAUUUUGGCCAUGGUAUCGGAGAUCAGAUUAUAAGUAUGACGUACAUGCAACUUGAUCCCUUGUCCUCAUAUUUUAAUUCCCGCAUUCACAAGUUGCACGUACUAAGCACUCCCAAUUAUUACCCUUUUCAUUAUGCAACUAUUUUUAGAAUUUAUUUAUUUUUAAUAUACAAAUGUCAUUUAACAAACAAUCUAUUUUAUUCAGCUAGCGGAGGUCGGGCAAAACCGUUUUUUAUCCAAGUCUAGAAAACCUUGUAUAUUGUUCGGGCAUACAUUUUGCAUUUCUAAGAUAGAACCCCAAGAUAUUAGGCAUUGUGUCAGUUGUAUCAAACUUAUUUCUAUAUGACAUCAAAAUGUUAGAGAUAUUGAUAUGAUGCAAUGCACCGGGAUUAUCCUUAAAAACGAAAAACAAUUAAAAGGAGGAAAACUUGUGCAAAUAGUCCUUACGUGAUAUGGUCCUCAUCAAAAUUACCAAAUUUGGAAUAUGGUGCUUCGAAAAAAGAGUGUUCUCAAAAAGAGGUAUCAUGCCUGGCUUAUCUUGGCUUUCAACCCAAAUGGCCAAGCGAUGGCCAUAUCCAUGGCAAACAUUGUUUUUCGUUUUCCCAUAUUCGGCACACACAUGCAUCUUGGAACACAAAUCCAACCAACAACCAAUGAUCGUUUCAUUUCUUAGAGGUGCGGGCGAGGACAAUUAAAAACUUGUGAAACAGGUGUACCCGAGGCUUAAUUCACUAUUCGAGUAUACAGAUUGGGUCACUCUGUGUCGAAAUCACAACAAGAAAAUGUUUUGUUGAACAUCCUCUGUUAGAUAAGACUACAAGAUGAUGGUACUUUUGGGUCCUUCACAAAACAAGAAACUAACCAAGAGAUUAGGAUGACUGAUCUGUCCCAUGUAUGUCCUGCAAAUCAGUUGUUGAUAACGUUGCCAUUAUUUAGGAAAAGUCUCCUCACCUGAAUAUAUAUAUGCCACAAACCUUUAUUUAGGAAAAGGCUCCUCACCUCAAUAUAUUUCAAAUGUUUGACAAUUUUACAGGAUCAUGCAUAUGCGCGCUCCUUGGGUGCCCCAGAUUUUAGCCUAUGUAUCCAUAUGUAAGGUAAGAUCAGUGCCAAUGUUUUCGAUGGUGUCAAGGGGAGGAUCAUCUACAACUUAGAACAUCUUGUUCAUGGCACCCCAUAUUAUCCAUACUACAUGUAGAAGAAUUAAGCAUGGGAUAAAUAUAGCCAGAGGGCAUUGCGGUUGAGAAGAGAUCACCAAUUUGGAUGGAGAGUGCGUGCCAUAUCCUUCAAGCAGCAUGACAGGUGAAGAAGAGGUGAUGUCUAUCAUGGGCAGAUGGAGCUGGUGAGGAUUCUUUAUAUUUUGUAGAUUGCAUCUUGUGUUCACUCUGUCCAGGUAGAAGAGCCAGGCGAAGAUCUGUAUUCUCUUUCAAGGUGCGGUCCUAUGGAUCCGAAAGCUGGGGUGAUAGGGCAGCAUAUGCCCCCUCUUGAUGAAAGCUGACCCAUUAAGCAACCCUCGCUCGUCAGGAUCCUACAACAGAGAGUUUAACGAGCCAAGCUCUGGCGAGGCAGUUGAGGUUAGUCGGUUACGCAAGGAAAGUUCGACCUGCAUGAUGGCAUCUUUGGUGGGAUCGGUGAGAGAAAAUGGUAGGGAAAACAUUGGCUAAUGGUUCAGGGUUGAUCCACCUGUCAAGCCAAAACAAACAAUCUCAAACAGUGGCUAAUGGUUCAGGUCUCCCAAAAAGAAUCUUUAGUUUGUUAGAUAAUAUUAUUUGCAUGGUUGUUUCCUAGUGUAUCAUAUAUGGACUCUUGGGCCGAUAGGAUCUUCUUUGUAAACGUAUGUACUUCAAAACAUGAGGAAACCAUAUCUCGUUUAGUCCUAGCCGUAAAAUUAAGAUCUGAUGGUUAUUUAUCAGCACUUGUCAAGGAUUAACGUGGAGGCUCGUAUGGUGCCUCCAAUUAAUAAAUAUAUGAUUUUGAGAUGGGCUUCUUAUAUAUUUCGCUAUAAAAAUUGAUUGGAACAAAUACGUACGCCUAGUUUGCUAGGAUAGGCCUUUAGCAAGGUUUAUCAUCUCCACUGUGUUGAAGAUUAGAUGAUAAGUAUGAACUAAAUGCAACUUGAUCCCAAGUCUUCAUAUUCCAAUCCCCAAAUUUACAACUUGCUCGUACUAUGCACAUCCUAUUAGUAACUUUUUUUGCUAGGAACACUUUUUAUAAUUUAUUUGUUUGUGAAUACACAAAUGUCAUUUUAACAGACUAUCUAUUUUUAUUCAGCUAGCAGAGGUUGGGCACAAUCAAUUUUUAUCCAAGACUAAAAAACCAUGUACAUUUUCGGGGGGCAUACAUCUUGUGUUUCUAAGAGACAACACUAAGAUAUUAUGCAUUGUGCCUCUUGUAUCAAACUUGUUUUUGUAUGUCAUAGAAAUAAUAGAGAUAGUGAUAUGAUUCACUGCACAUGGAUUAUCCUAAAAUAGAGAAACAAUUUAAAAACGGGAAACUUGCACAAAGAGUCCUUUUACGUGAUAUGGUUUCCAUAAAAAAUACCAAAAUUGAAAUAUGACGCUUUGAAAAAAAAGUGUUCUCGGAAAGAGGUAUCAUGUAUGCUUAUCUUGGCUUUCAACCCAAAAUACCAAGGCGAUAGUCAUAUCCAUGGGAAACAUGGUGGUAUUUUGCCCAUAUUCGGCACACAUGUGCAUCUUGGCAUGGCUUUACAAUGACACCUUAUUCACGUUGAUAAGAGCCUGUAUGCAAUAGCUACGACUCUCCUAAAACAUUGUCGACCGAUGAAAUCUCUGGACCAAAAGUUGGGCAGAAAACGCCAGACCAGUGAAUGGGGUGCCAAAACAUGGAAAAGGGCGGGGAAUUGCCAAAAUUCUACCGUUGGUUGUAGCCUCACUGAAACCGACAUGUAAUUUGACCGUCGAAUAUUCAGACAACCUGGAACCCUAGCAUGCUACCAGGGCACCGACAUAAUGCAUGUAUUCUGUGCAUGCGGUACUGGCGCCCCCGCGACCAGAGGAAGGAAUAAACACCUAGACGGUACGCUAGUGCCUAAAUUUGGGCGGGAGAACACCAGAGUGGUGAGUUGGCCACCAAAAGAUGAAAAAGGGCUAGUCUUUGGCAGGUAUAAACAAGGGGGGAGGGGGGCUGGUAUUUCGGGUGCCAGAUCUUGUGAAGGUAAACAAGGAGAGAGACAUAAGAUGGAUACAAGCUGCUCCUCUGCCUUUGUUUGACUUGACUCAGCUGAAACAUAAUGUCGUUUCCAAAGAAACUUCAAUUACUGUUGAGAAGAGACAAAACCAAAUACUGCCAUUACACAAUAUAUAUCCGUCGUAAGAUAUUGAUUAAGCUAACCAAGCUGGACAUUGCCUACAGUACACCUAGAUAACUUAAUUUAUGCUAGCGACCGUGACGGCGAUCACCAAUUGAUUGUAUUUAGUGACUAAUAACCUGCCAUUGGUAUAUUUCAAAUUUUAUAUAUCAUUUGAUCCUCACCAUCGUCGGACAUGAUCGAGUCACAUAGAUAGGUACAAGUAGCUGUUCUGAGAAUAAGAAGAAAAAAUCGAUGCACUGACAAUCUCCAAUGUGUGUCCAUCUCAACCAUUUUAAAUUAAUUAGUACAAGUCCAAAUUAUCUGCUCUCCGGUAGAAACUAAAUUAGUCACGUUUGUUACGCUAGAGUUUGGUGCCAACGAACAAACCUAGCAAAUCAAUUGCACGUGGUCUCCUUAAACUACAAACAACGACAAUGAUGGAGGAGCCACUAAAUAGAAGGCCGGGCAGCGAUAGAAUGUACUUACUCAAUGGUUGCUAAUUUUUGUUGGUAAAUUGCGAGCGUUCUCCAGGGACGAACUCAAGAAGCAGUUUUUCUUGAUGAACGGACAAUAAGCUCCACCAUGCAAAAAUAUAAGGUUUCAGUUUGAGGAUCCAACAAUAGUUCAUCAUGGAGCCUGAUGCACCAAGGUCAUAAUGCUGGUCUGGUGUGCAAAAUCCAAAGUAUGCAUCAGUUCUGCUCUCACACAUUGCGGAUCGUUCGAAUAUGCCAUCCAGAUCUUGUCUGUCCUGGAUAUACUUUUUGCUCGGAAUUAUAAAACUGUUCCUUUAUAAACUACUUACAGAAGCAUGAUUGUGGCUGUUGAACAUUUACUUUCCUUGAGUCGAAAAGACGCGCUAAUUUAGGGAAGCAGCAUGUGGGCACUGGAUAUCAUGUGCAUGCAUGUUCUUAACCCCCAAGCCACAUAGAUUAUUUGGCCCCAGAGCAAACCGCUUGGUUUGACCAGAAAAAAGACCUUCUACCCUUAUCCAUAGCAUAUGAAUGGAGAAGCAGAGCAUGAGCAGUGGGCAAACUAUCUAUCCUCUGAGAUGGACCAAGGAUAGAUAGUCGUUAGUGGCUCUAUAAAGAGGCCGGAUUCUGUCACACACAUAAGGGCUAAUUUUGCAGCAAGGUAAACGAAACCAGGGUAGCAAACCUUCGGGAGAUUAUACGCUAUUACUCACCUUCGGGAGAUUAUACGUUUCAAUCACUAUAUAUAUGACGUGCAAAAUGCAGCACACAUCCAUCACCAUCAGUUGAACCCGUGUCACACAAACUCCAAAGUCCAUACUUCUCUAGGUGUCAUCUCACUAUGCUGGAUACCUCUCCAAGUCUAUAUGUGAUGGACGGACGGACCAAGGCUCACUGGGCUUAAACACCUCCGGAAUGACAACCUCUACUACAACUCAACUCUGGAUUUUCGUACCUGUGCGUUUCACCAAACCAGUUGAUUAUCACCCCACUCUGCUCUUCUCUUCUCCAUGUAGAGUAGACCAGAGUAGGGACAACGAACACAUCAAUUACCAUCACAUACUAAAGUAUAUUCUAACAGCUGCUACAACUGAAUCAAUUAAUCAUGCCAAACACCCGUGCAUACCCACUCACUGCCAUUAUGUCCCGAAAUUGUCCAGCCUAGAACACACAAAUAAAAUAGAAUAGUCUCUAGUCUCCAUGCACUUUCACUGUUUGAUUGAUCACAAAAACUUACCUCAACAGUAAGAAAAUACACAAAUUUUGUUUUUCUCUGAUAUAUGAGAUCACAGAUUUUAGCCUUUUGGUGGUUCUAUUGACAUCAAUUGCAUGUACUAUAUUCACGGAUGCAAUUUUCUAACAAACCUUGCUAGCUAAUCUCCCUCGCACCUGCUCACAUCAAGAUUUAAACUGGAUGAGAUAAUGUAUAUGACUAUGUCUGACAUCAAGUUUAAGCGUUUAUGGUUCACGUUUUACAUCAAGUAUAUCGUAGUGUAGAGUAGCAAACUUAAUUCUCGAAAUCACCCAUACCAACGAAUGAAUGAAGAACCAAAGAGAUAAUUACAUCAGAGCUAGUCACUCCAUAGGCAAUAUCAGCAUAUUGUUAAUUGUUAAUGUGUAUAUCGAUCAAGUUUGUUUCUUUUCAAGUAAUCUAACACAUUCACCAAGGGAUUAAAUUGUAACUGAAUAGUACCAUUAGAAGUACAAAUAAGUUAACUAUUUGACAUUUGAUUUUCCACUAUUACUAAUUUUAUUUUUUAUUUUUUAUAUUCAAAUCUUCCGAGGUUUGUGUACAUUUUGUGUUGUUUAAGCCUGUCGGUCGACUGUAGAGUAGCCGCGCACCUCAUUCUUAUCCAUCUAAUCACAUGCACUAUGGUCUUCGCGUGGCAUUAAUUAAUUCCAUUGAUCAGUGAUAUAUUAUGUAGCUUGCUAGUUAAUAAUUAAUUAAUUAGCAGUUGAUGCAACUGCUCCAUUAUUAACAAUAAAAAGGCAUCCUCGUUUAGCUCGCAGGUCUUGUAUGAAUGCAUAAUCAUUUGCAUAAUAAUUAGGUAAGGCCGCUAGUUGGUGAGAAAUGCAUUGUACUUUCCUUGAGAUUAUCUGUCGACACCAAGCUGGUCAAUGGCGUGCAAUUUGAGAGCACUACCCUAUUCUCUGGGUUGUUAUAAAAAAAUUAAGGCAAAGGGACUCUGUACCCGUUGUAUCGAAUUGACAUGUACCUAGGAUAAAACUAAAUUAAUUGAUUCAUAAUCUAGUACAACAAAGGUGAAAUAAUUUAAAAAUCACUCCCUAAAAAAAGUAUAAGAAUGUGGCAAUCGCUCCCUAAAAACGGAAUGUAACAAUCACUCGUGGAAGGGGAAACGGCAAGACACCGCAAUGUCACUCGAACACUUUGACGUGUAGUACUGGGUAUGGGGAGAUUAUGUUGGGAUAAGAUAGUGGAUUGCCGGAGCCGGAGACCUCACCGGAGAGUUGGAAUUCCCCAUGUGGAUUCUGCUGUUGGCGAAAAAGCUGGUAAAGUGAAUGAGAGGACGGUGGCGAACGGACACUGCACAUUCACCGGAUCUGGGCAAGGAAAGGGCACAAAUGAACAACACCUUCUUUUUCUGUUUUUUAAACGCCAAAAAGGUGCAGGUGUGUUAUGAAUCAAACUAGUGACCUCCUGCUUCAACGUAAGCUGCAGUAACCACUUACUUUUUUUCUUCAUAUUUUCUUCUUUCUACUUUUCUUUUUUCUUGUUUCUGGUUCGUUGAGGUUUUUUCCAAUUUUGUGAACUAUUUUUUUCAAAAUCAAUGAACUUUUUUCAAUUUGUAUACUUUUUUUUUUCUGAAAUUGACAAAAAAUUGUAAUCAAUUGGUUUACUUUUUUUUCCAAAUUUUGUGAUACUUAAGAAAAGUCAACUAGUCAGUCAGUGAACCGAUCAACUGGCACCAGUCAACCAGUGAGAGAUCUGAAGCGUAGGGAACACUCAACCCGGUUGCAUUUUGCUGCGCUGCAGCGAGAUGACAUUUUCAGCCGCAACCCAUGAAUGAAGGUAGUGAGCGCCAGGGAUUCUUUUCGCUGCUUGAAGCGCCGAAUAGGAGCUCCCAUGAGUUAGAUAGCUUUUGGGUGCAAAUUCAGUUUGCAGAUCAACGAGGCCACAAGCUUUCCGGUUGUUUUUUCCUUAAUCCAGUUCCAUCUAUGUAAAACUGCGAACGACGGAUCAUCCAUCUUGAACGGAUCAACAUGCACAUGGUCAGCUCGAUCGUUACGCCAAAUGAAUACAAAUUAUGCACACACAAUCCGACGCGGCGAGUGAGAGCGACUUUGUUGAGAGGACCAAACUACCAUUAUUUUAUCUCAUUCUUCGUAUGAUAUUAAAACCGGCUAUUAGCUGUUUGUCUCUUGUAGACAUAUUUAAUCAGCUAUGUCAUACAAUACAAAUUAGGUGUUCCAUCACCUUCACAUUCAACUGCGGGUAUUCUGUUCUCGCAGAUGACUGGCUCUUUCAUAAAGAAUGUUUAAGGAAGUCUUAAUGACUGGGAAAGCCCUCCAGAUAGAAUGGUUGAAGUACUCUUGAACUGCACUGUAUGUAUUGCUUCUAGCUUUGGAUGAGCUUAAUAUCAUUUACGAGUAUUAAUCUAGUUCAUAUGGAAGUUUGUAUCCAAGCUAGUUGUGUACGUAUAUUAGGAGUCCAAGUGUUUGGCCGAGCUUAGCACUAGUCCGACUAGGAUAAGUAUGAUGGUUGAUCAUGUACACGUGGUUUUUUGAGUUUGGGUUCCAAGGUGUGUCCUAAUGCUAGUAGUAAUAGGAAGUACGAGGUACGAGUAGGAUUAGUUGGUCUAUAGGUUGGCCACAUUGUGUGUGUGUGUGUGUGUACAUACUAGCAAAAUAGAUUGUGCGUUGCAACGAGAGAGAAAAUAACACACACUCUUAACCUAGUAACCAUGAAUCAAGAUUCUAAUAGGUCCACGCCCUUUAUUUUCAAAUGGAAUCACAUUUUUGUUGCCGACGGUGGUCUCAGUGCUCAGAAAACGAAAUCGCGUUUGAAUGUGGUCAGUCCUAGGCCUCUCUCUCUCUCUCUCUCUCUCUCUCUCUCUCUCUCUCUCUCUCUCUCUCUCUCUCUCUCUCUCUCUCUCACGCGCGGGCACGCGCACUCACUCGGAAUAAUAUGAGAAAUAUGUUGUUUUCAGCGGUGUGCAUGCAUGGUUAUCGAUGUUUUCUUUCCUCUCAAUCUGGUUUUAAUGGGUGUUUAUUUGAAAUUCGAAUCGCCGCCAGUACCAAAGAAAAAGGACCAUGCACAAUAAACUAAGUUUGCACCAAAAAUAAUAUUUAAGAAAUAUUUAACAGCUAAAAAUAACAUAAUGUUUAGAUUCUACACAUUUUUUAAUCAAAUUUCAUAUAUAACAUGUUAAAAUUAGAGUUACGGUUUAAAAAUAUGAAUAAUUUUGUCUUAGAUAAACUAUGGAUUGAUUAACCGAAAAGUCAGGGGUUUUCUGUUAAAACAACAAAAAGAUCCAGCUGACUUAAAUAUGGAUGACGGGUUGAUUACCUGAAAUGUCAGGGUUUUAUUGAGAAAUUCAAAAACACGGUUUGGCUAUGACUUAAACGUGUACUGCGGGUUAAUUUACACAAAACACAGGGAUUUUUUUUAAAUGGCAUGACGUUGAGCAGUCACAAGCACUCUGUGCUUUAUUAUUAGGUGUAGAUAUAGACGCGAGGAUAUAUCAAGAUUGUACCGUGAAGAAAAGGAGAAAAGAAUAAAGAAGAGGAAGAAAGAGUACGACAAGGCCCCUUGGAUACAAGGUUUGUGUGUGUUUGUGUGUGCGUGUGUGUGUGCGCGCGCGCGCGCGCGCGCGCGCGCGUGUGUGUGUGUGUGUGUGUGUGUGUGUGUUCAUCAUGUUAUAGGUGGUGAAACACACUAAUGAGCAAGGUAAAACUCACAUCGAUCAAGGUCAGUGGCAUUUGUUCAAGUUUGUAAGGUGACUGUAGGACGCCUAGUUACGUCUGUGAACAAAAAGAGUCAGUACCGGCAAGGUCAGUGGCCAUAGUAGUAGCAGUUGUAGGAUCAACAUUUAGGAGUAUCAAGGUAGACACGAAGAAUGGAUAACUAUCCCAGUUGCACCUACAAACUGAUCCAGAAUUGUUUCCAAGUUUUUUGCAGCAAGUGGAGUAGCCUUGACAGCGACCAAGGUGGCAUUGACAUAUUAUGGUGUCGGUCAUAGGAGAUCUGGUUAUAGUGGUUGAGAAUAAAAUGUUCCGUUUGCCUUUGAUUAAUUAUGCGUUGUCUGUAAUUUGGUAUUCAUGAAAGUCACUAUCACGAUUAAUUGACCAUGUUCUAGAUCUCUACAUCAAAUUUAUUCCUGUUAUCCUCAAUGUUAUAGCUACAUCGAGAUACUUAUUUUUCAUAUGCGAGUAAUUGGUUGAGCUCUCCCAGCAGGACGAAGCAGCAAAGGGAGCAAAAUGUAUACCAAACUGUGGAUGAAUGCCACAAUGGGGUAACUCGGAAAGUUUAACUCAUGCUCUAUGUCUUGCCCAAGGACAACAUACUCCGCGUGCAACUUUUUGUGUAUAUACCAGACGAUGCGCCAUAAACUAAUUUUUGUUACAAAUGGUAACAUAUUAGUAUCAAGAUGACACAAAUUUCCAUUACAAAUAUACAAUAAACCAUUGUAGACCUCAUCGGUGUGAAAAAUUAAUUGGACGAACUAAAGUUUUGCAAUGAGAUGCUGAUGGUAGGCAUCAACAUGGACUUGGAGCUCGACUUGGAGUUGUCGUACUACUAGUAACUUUCUAGAUCGCAUGGAAAACUAUGAAUCCAAACAAGAUAACAGAUACAAUGAUGUAUUAUAUAUGAGCACAGAGAGAGAAAAAAAUAGAAACUUUAAACAUGGCUUCCAACGGGUUCUUCUGGUGUGUUAAGAGCCUUUAGAAGAUGAAACUGGGCUAGCUAUGGCCCUAGCCAUAAAGAACAUGGAAUUAGUGAUAUUACAACCGUGAAGGCUAACACGAAUAAGUUUCUAAGCGCCCCAACUGUGAUCAACACCACGAUCAAAAGUAUCCGCAACCGAAGAUGUAGUUAAAUCUAUCGAUGAUGCUGUCAAAUACCUCAUCUCGCUGAUUGGGAACCGGAGUCACCAUAUACGCCAACAUGAAAACCAGGUCAGCUAUGCAUAUAGAGAAUCUCACCCAGAUAGACUGAAAAAACCGUUGGUCAAUGAGGCUCUCUUUUCUCAGCUGUAUUAUCUCUUUGCGGUGCCUAUUUUAGCGAACUCUUUUUCCAGCUCAAUAAGGUUGUGUUUUCACAACUUUGCUGCAUGUACACCGUAUAUUGUCCCCCGAACACCAAGCCUUCCAAUCCCAAGAACAAAAGGAAAGAGAUAGCAGCCCAAAAAUAGACCAAGUUAUCUUUCCAGCAUUGUCUUUCCUACCAGGAUUCGAAAUCCUUCUUGGCAAGACGAGCUGAAUUAUCUCCCAUAGUCCGAAACUCACAAGAACAUCAAAAAUCCGACGUGAAUGAAUUCAAUAAAGAACAGGUAUAGAUAAAAAAUAAUAAUCAAGUACGAAUAAAAUUGGUAGGGUCUCAGACAAUAUAUUGACAUAUGAGAACGUACAUGACACAUAUCACUGUGGACAUUGUCUAUGGCCUUAUUACAAGCAACAAGAGAAAUUACAUAGGCGUGUGAGUGCGCGUGCGCGCGCACACACACGUGCACACAUGCAUGACAUACAUGGAUUGACUAGAGGUCGCCCCAUAUAGUCAACAAUUUAUUGGAGGUAAACAUUAGCAUAACUUGGCCAUAGAUCGAAGCAAUCCAACAUAUGCCGAUGAAUGGCAUCCAUGUUGGUAGCAAUGCAAGCAUAUCGUUUUAGUACA